ensembl:lncRNA
GCUAUCUAUGAUGAUUCUCAUUACUGAAGUAAUUUUUAGUAUAGCAACAAAAAUAUUUUAAAAAGUAAUGAAAAUUAAAUAAAAAUCUAAUUUUAUUUAUAUAGCACAAAUAAUAAUAAUAAUAAAAUAGUAGUUAACCAUUGAGCUAUACAAAAAAGACAAAGGAUAAAUAUCGAAAAAAAAAGAGACCAAAAGAAUAAAAAGACCACAAAGCAAUGAUAAAGGGAGUUAACAUCAAAACCCCCAAAAAUGUGAAUUUAAAAAUCAAAGACAGUUCUAAGCCUGAGAGAAAAGGUACGUUUUUAACUUGGAUUUAAAUUCAGUGGAAAUUAAUCUUAUAGAUAGAGGGAGACUAUUCCACGAUUUUGGAAGUUUAGAUCUCUAAAAACCUAAUGAGAAUCUUCAUAGAUAAUAAUAAUAAGUAUUUAAAACAAAACAAAAAAAAAAUUCAGGCAUGUUAGUGUUUUUUUUUUUUUUAUGUAAAACACACAAAAGCACCAAACCAAAUACUAUUGAAAAUAUUACAAUUUAAAUUUUAUAUAUGUAUUUUAUUUUUACUUUGCAUUAAUGCGAAUUUGAGGGGAAAAUGUGCUUAAUUUUUGUCAUAGAAAUCUUAAUGUUAAAACUAAGCAUUCGUUUCUUUUUCAGUCCCUGAAUUUAUUUUUGCAAACAAACAAACAAGUUCAUUCAUUCAUUUAAAAAUCAUCCGGUCAGGAUUAUUUUCAUUGCUGUAUUGCAGUAAUGAGAAAUUAGAAAAUGUGCUUAAUGCAAUCAGUCUUCAAAACAGGCUUUCUUACUACUUUUUGAUUUUGAGGUGAAAUAUGACCUGGACAUGCACACAGGGUUUACAAUACUGUGCAGCUGAAUAAUGUUCUGAAUUCAGUCAUAUUUCACAUGUCUAAACAAGUCUAGUUUCUCUCUUUUUUUUUUCUUUUUUUUUUGUGAGUUUGAGAACGUUUGCAACAAAUUAUAUGCACCAAUUCCAGCUUUUGUUGAUUUCAAAGCUCGUAAGGAUGAUCGACAGACACAGAUGUUGUUUUUUGUUUUCUGCUUUGACCUGUCGGAUGUUCAGAUACAUGGUUCACUCCUUGAAGACCUUUACUGACUGGAAAGAUCUGAGAGCCUGAAAGCCAAACCAUGAUUUCAUGGUCAUGCAGCCAUAUUCUCACAGAUGUACUUUGAAAUAGUUACUGUGGGGAAAUGAUUAAAUGGAUUACAUGGAUUUUCUUUCUUAUAGACCCAAAUAAUGUUGCCAUGUGGAGCAUUAAAAGUGGAUUGUGGUUAAUGAAAUAAGACACAUGAAUCCUUCUCUAAAUAGUCCCAUAAUCCCUCUGGUCUCCCUCAAACACGCUGCGGUCAGUGGUUUUGAAUCACUGGCACAGGUUCAUGGGCGAUUUGUCAGGGUAAAUGAACACACUGCACUAAAAUAAUCGGAUGUGCACAAAACAUUUAAAAAUAGAGUUUUUGCAGUGAUUAUGGUCAUGGAUUACUGUCAAAGAGGUCAAAAUGAACACAAAUUGGGGUAACACUUAAAGCCUUUAUAGAUAAUGCUUUAUAAAAUUAGGUUUAAUGCAUUAAUUAUGCACCUUAUAAUGCACUGUAUGAUCUGAUGAAUAAUUGCAACCACAGUUUAGAAUAUGUAUACAUUUAUAAUACUUAUCUAUUCAUUGUUACACCUUUGGAAAGUAUAAUGCAUUAAAACACAUGACAAACAAACCUUCAAAUGUUAUAAUGAAUUUAACCUUUGGUUACAGUUAUUUAUGCAUUACAGUGAACAUUCUGUAUAUCUUUAUAAUGCAUUAUACAUAAAGGCUUUAAGUGUUACUCAAAUUAACUUUGGUGAGUAAAUAUUUUCUGUAACUUACCACUUUGAGGAACUACAUAUAACUACAUAACAUAUGACUAAAUUGAAUUGUAAGACUGAUGCACAAUGAUGGAAGAGAUUGUAAACAAAGACAUGCAAACAUCUUUCACAAAUCAAAAAUAUACACACUACCACUCAAAAGUUUGAAGAUUUUUUAUUUUUAUUUUUUUUUUGGGAAAGAAGACACCAAGGCUGCAUUUAUUUGACCAAAAUACAGUAAAAAAGGCCCGUAAUAUUCUGAAAUAGUAUUACAAUUAAAAUUAAAAAAAUCAUAUAUUUUAUUUAGUCUACAGUGUCACAUGAUCUUCAGAAAUCAUUCUAAUCUGAUUUGCUGCUCAAGAAACAUUUCUGAUUAUUAUCAAUGUUGUAAAAACCAUGAUAAUUUUCAAAAUUACUGAUGAAUAAAAAGUUCAGAUUAACAGCAUUUAUUUUAAAUAGAUAUCUUUGGUAACAUUAUGUCUUUACUGACACUUUGAGUAAAUUUAAUGCAUCCUUGCUGAAUAAAAGUAGUAAUUCCUCUCAAAACAUUUUUUUGAAUGGUAGUGUAUUUUAAUAAGAAAUAAUGCAAAAUAUAUAUACUUUGCAAAUUUGACUCUCCAUUUGCAGGUUGAUGUUUGGCACUAACAGGCCUUGUUUUUAUUCAAGACUGAGUCUCCUCACUUUAUUAUUUGUUGCCACUGAGCCAUUCAUGAUCUCAAACGUGGGUCUUUUAGGCCUUUAUUCUGACACCUUAUGAGUGCCAUUAUAUCUCAGUGUUUACAUUGUAAAUUCAUCUUCAUUCACUGUAUUAGCAAAAAUCGCGAGUGUCCCGUUGCCUUUUACAGUGUUAAACCACACAGUGCAUUACAGUACGCACAGAGACUGUUCAGAUCUAGACGCUGACUUGAUGAUACGAUGAUCACGUGUCUCUAGGUUAACUGCCUUGCUUAUUUUAAUCAGUUAUUAUUCACUUUGAUUCACGUUGUAUCUGCACUCUGUAAAUCUGCUCAUGUAACGCUCUAUCCGUAUUUUCUUCAGUGUCACGGGUGUAAACUGCUUUUUUAUGAUAAUUCUUUGAUUAAUCAAGAAAAUGUGAAAUAAGAUACUGUACGUUGAUGUCUGCAGCACACAAAUAACGGUCAGCAUAAAGGGCAGCGCUAGUAAAGUUGUUUAUGAAACCGA